rnacentral:tRNA from 1 species
GCUUAGUUGGUAAAGCACAAGGCUCUUAACCUCGCGGACAUGGAUUCAAGUCCCAU